rfam:Triticum aestivum genome assembly, contig: Triticum_aestivum_CS42_TGACv1_scaffold_577320_7BL
AAAGUACUCGCUCCGUCCGGAAAUACUUGUUGGAGAAAUGGAUAAAAAUGAAUGUAUUUAGAACUAAAAUAUAUCUAGAUACAUCCAUUCAUCCGACGAGUAUUUCCGGAAGGAGGGAGUAACAC